CGAUGCGCGCGUAGCCGGCUCGAACCUGACCCUCCCAUCUCUCGGCGUGCUGCCCUGAUGUGUGGUUUGGUUUUCCUGGCACGGAGGUUUUCACGCCAAAUAGCUCAUGACGGGGCGAACUCGCUAGCUUUCGGGCCGGAUCGGGAAGUCUCGGACGGGAAGGCUGGGUCGGACGACGAGGAGGACGAGGAGGGCGACGAGCCCCUCAGGGAGGCCGGGACCGGGGGACCUAGACGCGCCGACGAGUCUCUCCUAUCUUGUCCUUUGCGCGGCUGGCCAGACAAUGAACCGGACGAUCUUGACGAGGUGCCUGGCGUGGUAUCUCCGACCGUGACGACAACCACGACCGACAACGUCCCCACGAUGGGGAGGCGGCUACGUGCAGCGGCGGUAGCGGUGGCGAUCGGUGGCUGCGACGCGGCCCCACGGGAAGCAAACGACCGAGGCGCCGACUGGAAAGAGUUCGGCGGGGGAGCAGUCGGAGGGCGAGCGCCAGGGCUCCCCUUAGGCUCUUGGUGGUGGGCACGCCGUCCGCGCACGAAGCUAACUCAGCGGAACGCGAAGGCAUCGAGGCCACCAUGCCUGGAGCGCGAGAGCGUGCUGCUUGGAGGGACCGGGAGCUGGCCUUGCGGGAGGAGACAAAGGCCUCCGCGAAAGCGUGGGAGGGCGCCGCGAUGGCGCAGAAAAGCGCCAUAAGUUCGAAGGGUCCAGGAGACACCGCGUGGGAGCCCUGGGGGCGGAGGGCUCCCGCGAGCCGGCCACCUGCAAGCCAAGCUCGUCCACCGCCGUGUCGGGCGCGGGCCGAGGUGACGAGGUCGGCCGGCUCGGAGGGAGCGCUCAAACUGACGGAGAUUGGGCGGGUGCCGGCGAGGCCUCAAGCGGUGCGCACCCGAAGAGCCGGACCCCGUCCCUGGACAGGGUGCGAACGGGGUUCACCAGCUUGGGCAGUUACCUGCAGACGGCCGCCCCGUCGGCGCAGGACCAGCUCAAAGAACUUGAGCAAGCCGUGGCAGCCCUUCACGACGUGUGUGCGGUGAGCCACAACAGGAUGCGCUUUGCGUAAAAGGCGGCCCUGGCUGAUCUCGCGGUGAAGGAGGGGGAGCUGCAGCAAAUCUGGGAUAAGCAAUCUGCCUUCCUCCAAUGGGGGUGUGCCAGCGCACCCACUUGGUGUAGCCCCCGAGAUUCAGGCCGGCUGCUCAGGAGCCAAGUCGGAUCUUCUUGUGCAUUCUCUUGCCACUUCUUUGCCUUCCAGUGUCCGUCGUGCCGCUGAUUGAUAAAUCCAUCUCGUCCUGCAGCUGCCGGUAAGGACCCGGUGGAGAUCCAGACCCUUCGACGCCUGCUGGCGCGGGCCGGCCAGCUGUGCGACCUGCUGUGGGAGCAGGUGGGGCGGCACGAGGCGGAGCGGGACCAACAGACGGCCGCCCAUCUGGCCGAGCUGGACUGGUUGGCUGAGGAGCACCAGAAGGCGCUGGCGGAAAAGGAUGAGGCGGUGAGUCGGGCCGCCCAGGAAAUCACCAGCCUAAAGGCGGACCGUGACAGCCAAACCGCUGCGUGGACAGCGCGGGAGCAGGAGAUUUUGGCCAAGGCGUAUCGCGUCGACGAGCUCCUUGCUGAGGCCUUCUCGGAGACGUAGGAGGCAGCCAAGGAUGCCGUGAACACCCGCCGGGACGACCAGUGGGAGGCCGGGGUCUGCGUCGGGCAAUCUGCUGCUUGGACGGUGGAGGAGACGGGCGUUGCCGCCGAUGCCCGCCUGCAGGCGAUUACGUGUGCCCUGAACCUGCUUCGUGACGCCGGCCUGGCGACGGUGCGUGUCCUUUGGCCAGAUGCGGUGCAGCCGACAACCAUCAGCCGGUUGGCGAGGUGGCUAGAAACGGCGCCGGCUAGGAUUAAUGCGUGGCGGGCCUCUGUCGUGCGGGCUGCCGCGGCGAUGGCGCUGCGCCUCGCGCUUUCCUGGUAUCCGGGGAUCAGGUUGGACCAGCUGGCGGAGGCGGAUCUGGCAGCGCGUGCCUAGCCGCUCGCCAGGCGCGCCAGCGAGUUCGCUACCUUCACUCUCGAGGACGAGUUCUUCAAGGAGCGGGCCGCUGGUGGCGAGGAGAUCCUGGAGGUAGCCAGGCCGAGACGCUUGACGAAGGGACCGGUUCGAACAGCGGAGCGUACGCCGGCGAUGACGCCAAGACGGACAAUGGCGCCGCGGAGGAACAGGAGCGAUCCGGAGCCAGUGACCCCACCGCCUAGGAAGCCGUGCUUUUUCUGCUCUUUUAGUUUCAACCAAUUGUAAUUAAUUAUUCCGCAGUUCCACCCACUGGGGGUGUAUCUUAGACAUGCUGGACCUCGGGCAUGGGUUUGUUGCUGUGAUUUAAGAAUGCGUGAGUAUCUCAUUUUGCCGGCGGCUCGCUUUUGCUUUCGUCCUUAGGCUUUUUCCUG